UACGGAGGGUGCAAGCGUUGCUCGGAAUUACUGGGCGUAAAGCGUACGCAGGCUGUUCGUUAAGUCGGGUGUGAAAGCCCGGGGCUCAACCCCGGAAUUGCGCCCGAAACUGACGAGCUUGAGUGCGGGAGAGGGAAGCGGAAUUCCUGGUGUAGAGGUGAAAUUCGUAGAUAUCAGGAGGAACACCGGUGGCGAAAGCGGCUUCCUGGCCCGACACUGACGCUCAUGUACGAAAGCGUGGGGAGCAAAC
rnacentral:rRNA from 1 species